UGUCAAGGGAGGGGAAUCGAAUCCGCUUACCGGGCAGAUGCCAUGACCACUAGGCUACCCUGGAC